GACCUCAAAUCAGGCAGGACUACCCGCUGAACUUAAGCAUAUCAAUAA
rnacentral:rRNA from 1 species